rnacentral:rRNA from 1 species
CGCUGGCGGCGUGCUUACACAUGCAAGUCGAACGAGAAUCACCGGAAGGAGUUUUCGGACAACGGAAGGUGAGGACAGUGGCGGACGGGUGAGUAACGCGUGAGGAACCUGCCUUUCAGAGGGGGACAACAGUUGGAAACGACUGCUAAUACCGCAUAACGCAUAGGUAUCGCAUGGUACUUAUGCCAAAGAUUUAUCGCUGAAAGAUGGCCUCGCGUCUGAUUAGCUGGUUGGUGAGGUAACGGCCCACCAAGGCGACGAUCAGUAGCCGGACUGAGAGGUUGACCGGCCACAUUGGGACUGAGAUACGGCCCAGACUCCUACGGGAGGCAGCAGUGGGGAAUAUUGGGCAAUGGGCGCAAGCCUGACCCAGCAACGCCGCGUGAAGGAAGAAGGCUUUCGGGUUGUAAACUUCUUUUGGCAGGGAAGAGGAGAAGACGGUACCUGCCGAAUAAGCCACGGCUAACUACGUGCCAGCAGCCGCGGUAAUACGUAGGUGGCAAGCGUUGUCCGGAUUUACUGGGUGUAAAGGGCGUGUAGCCGGGUUGGUAAGUCAAAUUUGAAAUGCACGGGCUUAACUCGUGAACUGCAUUUGAAACUGCUG